rnacentral:misc_RNA from 1 species
GAUGAAGAACGCAGUGAAAUGCGAUAAGUAAUGUGAAUUGCAGAAUUCAGUGAAUCAUCGAAUCUUUGAACGCACAUUGCGCCCGCCAGUAUUCUGGCGGGCAUGCCUGUUCCAGCGUCAUUUCAACCAUCAAGCCCCCGGCUUGUGUUGGGGACCUGCGGCUGCCGCAGGCCCUGAAAAGCAGUGGCGGGCUCGCUGUCACACCGAGCGUAGUAGCAUACAUCUCGCUCUGGGCGUGCUGCGGGUUCCGGCCGUUAAACCACCUUCAUAACCCAAGGUUGACCUCGGAUCAGGUAGGAAGACCCGCUGAACUUAAGCAUAUCAAUAAGCGGAGGA